rnacentral:rRNA from 1 species
GACGUAGGGGGCCAGCGUUGUUCGGAAUUACUGGGUGUAAAGGGUUCGUAGGCGGUGCGGCAAGUCGGGAGUGAAAUCUCUGGGCUUAACCCAGAGGCUGCUUCCGAAACUGCUGUGCUUGAGUGUGGGAGAGGCGCGUGGAAUUGCAGGUGUAGCGGUGAAAUGCGUAGAUAUCUGCAGGAACACCCGUGGCGAAAGCGGCGCGCUGGACCACUACUGACGCUGAGGAACGAAGGCUAGGGGAGCAAACAGG